UGGGGAAUAUUGGACAAUGGGCGAAAGCCUGAUCCAGCCAUGCCGCGUGUGUGAAGAAGGCCUUUUGGUUGUAAAGCACUUUAAGUGGGGAGGAAAAGCUUAUGGUUAAUACCCAUAAGCCCUGACGUUACCCACAGAAUAAGCACCGGCUAACUCUGUGCCAGCAGCCGCGGUAAUACAAAGGGUGCAAGCGUUAAUCGGAAUUACUGGGCGUAAAGCGCGCGUAGGUGGUUAUUUAAGUCAGAUGUGAAAGCCCCGGGCUUAACCUGGGAACUGCAUCUGAUACUGGAUAACUAGAGUAGGUGAGAGGGGAGUAGAAUUCCAGGUGUAGCGGUGAAAUGCGUAGAGAUCUGGAGGAAUACCGAUGGCGAAGGCAGCUCCCUGGCAUCAUACUGACACUGAGGUGCGAAAGCGUGGGUAGCAAACAGGAUUAGAUACCCUGGUAGUCCACGCCGUAAACGAUGUCUACCAGUCGUUGGGUCUUUUAAAGACUUAGUGACGCAGUUAACGCAAUAAGUAGACCGCCUGGGGAGUACGGCCGCAAGGUUA
rnacentral:rRNA from 1 species